rnacentral:rRNA from 1 species
AGUGAACGCUGGCGGUAGGCCUAACACAUGCAAGUCGAACGGCAGCACAGUAAGAGCUUGCUCUUACGGGUGGCGAGUGGCGGACGGGGGAGGAAUACAUCGGAAUCUACUUUUUCGUGGGGGAUAACGUAGGGAAACUUACGCUAAUACCGCAUACGACCUACGGGUGAAAGCAGGGGAUCUUCGGACCUUGCGCGAUUGAAUGAGCCGAUGUCGGAUUAGCUAGUUUGCGGGGUAAAGGCCCACAAAGGCGACGAUCCGUAGCUGGUCUGAGAGGAUGAUCAGCCACACUGGAAGUGAGGCAGGUUCCAGACUCUUACGGGAGGCAGCGGUGGGGAAUAUUGGACGAUGGAGGCAAGCCUGAUCCAGCCAUACCGCGUGGGUGAAGAAGGACUUCUGGUUGUAAAGCCCUUUUGUUGGGAAAGAAAUGCAGCAGGUUAACACCCCGCUGUUCUGACGGUACCCAAAGAAUAAGCACCGGCUAACUUCGUG